UUCCGGUUGAUCCUGCCGGAGGUCACUGCUAUUGGGAUUCGAUUAAGCCAUGCGAGUCGAGAGACUUCGGGUCUCGGCAGACGUCUCAGUAACACGUGGAUAAUCUACCCUUGAGUGGGGGAUAAGCUUGGAAACCUGAGUAUAAUACCCCAUAGGCCUAGGAUGCUGGAAUGCUUCUAGGCUGAAAGCUCUGGCGCUCAAGGAUGAGUCUGCGACCUAUCAGGCUGUAGUGGGUGUAACGGACCCACUAACCUUCGACGGGUACGGGCCUUGAGAGAGGUUGCCCGGAGUUGGACUCUUAGACACGAGUCCAGGCCCUACGGGGUGCAGCAGGCGCGAAAACUUCACAAUGUGGGAAACCACGAUGAGGGGAUUCCAAGUGCCAGCACACUGUGUUGGCUGUUCAUCUGCCUAAAAAGCUGGUGAAGUAAGGGCCGGGUAAGACGGGUGCCAGCCGCCGCGGUAAUACCCGCGGCCCGAGUGGUGGUCGUUAUUAUUGAGCCUAAAGCGUCCGUAGCCGGUCCAGUAAAUCUCUGGGUAAAUCGGGCAGCUUAACCGUCCGAAUUCCGGAAAGACUGCUGGACUUGGGACCGGGGGAGGUUGGAGGUACUCCUGGGGUAGGGGUGAAAUCCUGUAAUCCUGGGGGGACCACCAGUGGCGAAGGCGUCCAACCAAAACGGCUCCGACGGUAAGGGACGAAGCCCUGGGGCGCAAACGGGAUUAGAUACCCCGGUAGUCCAGGGUGUAAACGCUGCAGUUUGGUGUUGGGGGUCCUACGAGGGCGCCCAGUGCCGGAGAGAAGUUGUAAACCUGCCGCUUGGGGAGUACGUCCGCCAGGAUGAAACUUAAAGGGAAUUGGCGGGGGGAGCACAGCAACGGUGGGAGCGUUGCGGUUCAUUGGAAUUCAACGCCGGA
rnacentral:rRNA from 1 species